AAAAGUAAAAUUUUUAUAUUGUUAUUAUUUUUAUUAAACGUAACUAUGGAAUCUUUAUCCGCGGCGAUAUUACUGGUUGAGGAGGAGAGCAGCGCAUCUCAGAAUGCUGGGGUGAGAAUUGAAAGGAGAAGAUUACGAGAUAUGUGCGAUCCCUUCCAGAUGAAUGACGGGCUAUUCAAAAAAACUUUCGUCUGAAUAAGGACGCAUUUAAGUAUGUCCUAGAUACGUUUGCGGAAGAAACGACGGCAAGUAAAUUUGAUGCUUCCUCUUUCCAAAUAGCCUGCACAUCUCCUUUAGGACGCUGGUGGAAACCGUUGGGUAUAUCUAGCUUACUCUCCAUCAUAUCUGCCAAUUUUCCAUAUUGCUCUGGUGUUGUUUUUGAC